rnacentral:rRNA from 1 species
UACGAAGGGGGCUAGCGUUGCUCGGAAUUACUGGGCGUAAAGGGCGCGUAGGCGGAUAGUUUAGUUGGGGGUGAAAGCCCGGGGCUCAACCUCGGAACUGCCUUCAAUACUGGCUAUCUUGAGUACGGGAGAGGUGUGUGGAACUCCGAGCGUAGAGGUGAAAUUCGUAGAUAUUCGGAAGAACACCAGUGGCGAAGGCGACACACUGGCCCGUUACUGACGCUGAGGCGCGAAAGCGUGGGGAGCAAACAGG